UACGUAGGGGGCAAGCGUUGUCCGGAAUCAUUGGGCGUAAAGAGCGUGUAGGCGGCUCGUAUAAGUCUGCUAGUGAAAGUCCACGGGCUCAACCCCUGGAAGGCCGGUGGAAACUGUCGGGCUAGAGUCCGGAAGAGGCGAGUGGAUUCCCGGUGUAGCGGUGAAAAUGCGCAGAUAUCGGGAGGAACACCUGUGGCGAAAGCGGCUCACUGGACCACAACUGACGCUGAGGCGCGAAAGCUAAGGGGAGCAAACAGGG
rnacentral:rRNA from 1 species